rnacentral:rRNA from 1 species
UAGGGAAUCUUCGGCAAUGGGGGGAACCCUGACCGAGCAACGCCGCGUGAGUGAAGAAGGUUUUCGGAUCGUAAAGCUCUGUUGUUAAGGAAGAACGAGUGUGAGAAUGGAAAGUUCAUGCUGUGACGGUACUUAACCAGAAAGGGACGGCUAACUACGUGCCAGCAGCCGCGGUAAUACGUCGGUCCCGAGCGUUGUCCGGAUUUAUUGGGCGUAAAGCGAGCGCAGGCGGUUAGAAAAGUCUGAAGUGAAAGGCAGUGGCUCAACCAUUGUAGGCUUUGGAAACUGUUUAACUUGAGUGCAGAAGGGGAGAGUGGAAGUCCAUGUGUAGCGGUGAAAUGCGUAGAUAUAUGGAGGAACACCGGUGGCGAAAGCGGCUCGCUGGUCUGUAACUGACGCUGAGGCUGGAAAGCGUGGGGAGCGAACAGG